rnacentral:rRNA from 1 species
GUCGAACGAAGCACUGAAAGCAGAUUACUUCGGUAGGAAGCUAUCUUUGACUGACUGGCGGACGGGUGAGUAACGCGUGGGUAACCUGCCUCAUACAGGGGGAUAACAGUUAGAAAUGACUGCUAAUACCGCAUAAGCGCACGGGACUGCAUGGUCCAGUGUGAAAAACUCCGGUGGUAUGAGAUGGACCCGCGUCUGAUUAGCUAGUUGGUGGGGUAAGGGCUCACCAAGGCGACGAUCAGUAGCCGGCCUGAGAGGGUGACCGGCCACAUUGGGACUGAGACACGGCCCAAACUCCUACGGGAGGCAGCAGUGGGGAAUAUUGCACAAUGGGGGAAACCCUGAUGCAGCGACGCCGCGUGAAGGAAGAAGUAUUUCGGUAUGUAAACUUCUAUCAGCAGGGAAGAAAAUGACGGUACCUGACUAAGAAGCCCCGGCUAACUACGUGCCAGCAGCCGCGGUAAUACGUAGGGGGCAAGCGUUAUCCGGAUUUACUGGGUGUAAAGGGAGCGUAGGCGGUGAUGCAAGUCAGAAGUGAAAGCCCGCAGCUCAACUGCGGGACUGCUUUUGAAACUGUAUGACUAGAUUGCAGGAGAGGUAAGUGGAAUUCCUAGUGUAGCGGUGAAAUGCGUAGAUAUUAGGAGGAACACCAGUGGCGAAGGCGGCUUACUGGACUGUAAAUGACGCUGAGGCUCGAAAGCGUGGGGAGCAAACAGGAUU